rnacentral:rRNA from 1 species
UGGGGAAUAUUGCACAAUGGGGGAAACCCUGAUGCAGCGACUCCGCGUGAACGAAGAAGGUAUUCGUAACGUAAAGUUCUGUCCUAUGGGACGAUAAUGACAGUACCAUAGAAGAAAGCUCCGGCUAAAUACGUGCCAGCAGCCGCGGUAAUACGUAUGGAGCGAGCGUUGUCCGGAAUUGUUGGGCGUAAAGGGUACGCAGGCGGUUUAAUAAGUCGAAUGUUAAAGAUCGGGGCUCAACCCCGUAAAGCAUUGGAAACUGGUAAACUAGAGUAGUGGAGAGGAAAGUGGUAUUCCUAGAGUAGUGGUGAAAUACGUAGAUAUUAGGGGGAAUACCAGUAGCGAAGGCGACUUUCUGGACACAAACUGACGCUGAGGUACGAAAGCGUGGGGAGCAAACAGG